CUCUUUUGAAUGGAAUGCUCUAUUAUUUUGAGUAUGAUGACACUCCAUCUGAAUAGGAAGAUCUGAUGC